rnacentral:rRNA from 1 species
GGGUCAUUAGGUUGGUCGUGCCACCGGUACGUACUGGUCUCACUGAUUCCUCCUUCCUGAGGAACCGUAAUGCCAUUAAUUUGGUGUUGCGGGGAAACAGGACUGUUACUUUGAAAAAAUUAGAGUGUUUAAAGCAAGCUAACGCUUGAAUACAUUAGCAUGGAAUAAUGAAAUAGGACGAUCGAUCCUAUUUUGUUGGUUUCUAGGAUUGACGUA